GUGAGGACACAGAACUGCUGGGAUCGCGCCAUGGCCUGGGCCCCUCUCCUCCUCGUGGUGCUCGCCUACAGCUCAGGUUCCCUGGUCCAGGCAGCGCUGACUCAGACGCCCUCUGUGCUCUCCGCGAAACCCGGAGACACCGUCACGAUCACCUGCUCUGGGACUACCAACAGCUAUGGCUGGUUCCAGCAGAAGGUGCCAGGCAGUGCCCCUGUCACUGUCAUCUAUGGUAGCAGUGGCAGACUCUCGAACAUCCCUUCACGAUUCUCCGGCUCCAGAUCUGGCUCCACGGCCACUUUAACCAUCACUGGGGUCCAAGCCGAGUGGUGA